AUACGGAGGGUGCAAGCGUUAAUCGGAAUUACUGGGCGUAAAGAGUACGUAGGUGGUUUAUUAAGUCAGAUGUGAAAGCCCCGGGCUCAACCUGGGAACUGCAUUUGAAACUAGUAGACUAGAGUAUGGUAGAGGGGGGUAGAAUUUCUAGUGUAGCGGUGAAAUGCGUAGAUAUCAGAAGGAAUACCAGUGGCGAAGGCGGCCCCCUGGACCAAUACUGACACUGAGGUACGAAAGCGUGGGUAGCGAACAGGAUUAGAAACCCCAGUAGUCC
rnacentral:rRNA from 1 species